UACGUAGGGUGCAAGCGUUGUCCGGAAUUAUUGGGCGUAAAGAGCUCGUAGGCGGUCUGUCGCGUCUGCUGUGAAAACUCAGGGCUUAACCCUGAGCUUGCAGUGGGUACGGGCAGACUGGAGUUCGGUAGGGGAGACUGGAAUUCCUGGUGUAGCGGUGAAAUGCGCAGAUAUCAGGAGGAACACCGGUGGCGAAGGCGGGUCUCUGGGCCGAUACUGACGCUGAGGAGCGAAAGCGUGGGGAGCGAACAGG
rnacentral:rRNA from 1 species